rnacentral:rRNA from 1 species
CCUACGGGAGGCAGCAGUAGGGAAUGUUGCGCAAUGGGCGAAAGCCUGACGCAGCAACGCCGCGUGAUUGAUUAAGGCCUUCGGGGUGUAAAGAUCUGUAAGUGGGGACGAAACUUGACGGUACCCACAGAGGAAGCACCGGCCACCUCCGUGCCAGCAGCCGCGGUAAGACGGAGGGUGCAAGCGUUGUCCGGAAUUAUUGGGCGUAAAGGGUUCGUAGGUGGUAUGUUAAGUCUGGUGUUAAAUGCAGGGGCUCAACUUCUGUUCGGCACUUGAUACUGGUAAGCUUGACUGCGGUAGAGGUAAGUGGAAUUCCUGGUGUAGCGGUGAAAUGCGUAGAUAUCAGGAGGAACAUCGGUGGCGUAGGCGCUUUACUGGGCCGUAAUUGACACUGAGGAACGAAAGCCGGGGUAGCAAAUAGGAUUAGAUACCCCUGUAGUC